rnacentral:piRNA from 1 species
UAGCCAGGGUCUACUGUGUGCCUGA